GCAGGGGUUCCCGAGCUUGGUCAAAGGGGCUAGAUUCAUAGUCUAGUAGCUUAGCGCUUUCGGAGGUUCAAAUCCUCCCUCCUGCACCA
rnacentral:tRNA from 1 species